AACCAGGUAGCAUUCCUCUUCGACGUCGGCUCGACAUGACCCAAUCCAUGAGGACUCGAUCACGAUCGAAACGACCGUCGUCCGCACGUUGCGUGGAACGCUUUUCUUCGUGGGGCAAAUAAAGGUCGUGGCCUCGUGCCCACCACAUGUUCCGCAUCCGAGAGAUCGAGCAUCACGUCGUGGGCCCACAACCCGAGCACCCUUGUACGAGCGCACGAGAGAGGAACACGGCAUUUGCUUCGGGUUCCAACCCGCGCCGCAACACCGAACGGUGCAGCAGCACAGGAUGAAAAUUGAACGGUCUUGCCGGCGAAAUGCCUUCGUGGUAGGUAUAUAACACAGGAAUACCGACAUCGGACAAGGMGAAGGGGCACUUGUUCCGAAGAUUGAAGAGGCGCGGUUGGGAUGUC
rnacentral:misc_RNA from 1 species